GCAAGUCGAGGGGCAGCAUUGGUACUUGUACCAGAUGGCGACCGGCGAACGGGUGCGUAACGCGUAUGCAACCUACCUUAUACAAAAGGAUAGCCCAUGGAAACGUGGAUUAAUACUUUAUAGUACUAUAAAGCUGCAUAGUUUAAUAGUUAAAAUUUCGAUGGUAUAAGAUGGGCAUGCGUAUGAUUAGGUAGUUGGUGAGGUAACAGCUCACCAAGCCAACGAUCAUUAGGGGUUCUAAGAGGGAGAGC
rnacentral:rRNA from 1 species